UUAGAGGUUUAGGGUAGAAGAAUGCUGCCUGGGAGGCGCCAGGCUCGAUCCAAGAUCCAGAAGCUCCAAGCCGCCGCCAGCGACCAGCUCGUGCCGAGGAAACCGACGCCCCUCGCGGUUCUCUCUCAGAUCAAGGACGAUCUCGGUGUUCUUGACGGCGACUGCGACAGGGAGAGGAAGAGAUUCAAGCCGGAUACCGCAUUCUUCGUGGCGCUGCUCCAGCGCUGCUCGUCUGCCAAGAAUGUGGAUCACGGCCGGCGCGUCCACUGGCACGUAUGCGAUCGGGGUUUCGAGCAGAACAAUCUCGUCUGCGGCCACUUGAUCCAGAUGUAUGCGCAAUGCGGCAGCGUGCCGGAGGCUCAGCAGGUUUUCGAGAUCUUGGAGCGCAAGGAUGUGUUCGCGUGGACGAGGAUGAUCGGGAUCUAUUGCCAGCAAGGGGAUUACGAUCGCGCGCUGGGGAUGUUCUACCAGAUGCAAGAGGAGGAUGUGAUGCCGACCAAGGUGACAUACGUCGCGAUCCUCAACGCUUGCGCUAGCACGGAAUCGCUCAAGGAUGGGAUGGAGAUCCACGGGCAAAUCCUCCAGCAGGGAUUCGAGGGCGAUGUGUUCGUGGGGACGGCGCUGAUAAACAUGUAUAACAAGUGUGGCAGCGUUAGAGGCGCCUGGGAUUCUUUCAAGAGGCUCGAGCACAGGGACGUGGUUUCAUGGACAGCCAUGAUCGCGGCUUGUGUCCAGCACGAUCAGUUUGCUCUCGCGAGGUGGCUCUACCGGAGGAUGCAGCUCGACGGCGUGGUGCCGAACAAGAUCACGCUCUACACCGUCUUCAAUGCUUACGGAGAUCCACACUACUUGAGCGAGGGGAAGUUUAUCUACAGCUUGGUUUCCUCGCGAGUGAUGGAGUCCGACGUCCGAGUGAUGAAUUCCGCGAUGAAUAUGUUUGGCAACGCUGGGCUCCUGGGUGACGCGCGGAGGCUUUUCGAGGAUAUGGUGGACAGGGACGUGGUUACUUGGAACAUAGUCAUCACAUUCUACGUGCAAAACGAGAACUUUGGCGAGGCCGUGAGGCUUUUUGGGCGCUUGCAGCAGGAUGGGAUCAAGGCAAACGACAUCACGUUUGUGUUGAUGCUCAACGUGUAUACCAGCUUGACGAGCUUGGCGAAAGGGAAGCUCUGAUGAGUCUCUACGGGAGAUGCGAGGCCCCCGGACAAGCGUGGAAGAUUUUUGUCGACAUGGGAAGAAGGAAGCUCUUCAGCUGUUCCAGGAGAUGCAGCUCGAAGGACGCAG